GCCUCUCUCCCAUAAAGGUUGGCUUGGCUUGGCUUUCCACCUCAAGUUCAGUAUUUGGUAGCCCCUGCAAGACACUCUGGAGAUCUCUUUUCAUUUGGUAUUGUGACUACCGGUACUCAAGCUAGCCUCCGAUCAAUCAGCCUUGAUCUUUGAACAAUUAGUGAGUAGAUC
rnacentral:lncRNA from 1 species